UGCAAUUCUGAUGGCAGUACUCUUGGUCGUGUUGUCGUCUGCUUUAGUCUGGCCAUAAUCUUCAUCCUCAGAUCAGUAGAUGCAUCUGUCAU